CUCCAGUGAUGAGCUUGCCAUGCUAAUACUGAUGCACCAGGCACGGCCGCGUGUCUGUCUGGGUGUAAGUGAGUUAAUUUCGCCUUCUCACACUGACGGUGUGCGCUGAGGAGA